UACGUAGGGUGCAAGCGUUAAUCGGAAUUACUGGGCGUAAAGCGUGCGCAGGCGGUUCGCCAAGUCAGGUGUGAAAUCCCCGGGCUUAACCUGGGAAUUGCGCUUGAAGCUAGCGGGCUUGAGUGUGGCAGAGGGGGGUGGAAUUCCACGUGUAGCAGUGAAAUGCGUAGAGAUGUGGAGGAACACCGAUGGCGAAGGCAGCCCCCUGGGUCAACACUGACGCUCAUGCACGAAAGCGUGGGGAGCAAACAGG
rnacentral:rRNA from 1 species